AGCGGCCUCUCCGACUUGCUUCUGAUAUAUUUGGAGUUUUAUGAAUAAAUAUAUCAGGUUAUAUAAUCAAUAAGUGAUUUAAUAUGGUUAUAUGAUGAUACAGGUUAUAUAACCUUAUAUAUUUAUUCAAAAAACUUUGAUCGGUUACGUAUUGGUGUAGUUAAGAUAGGGUUUUGAUUGCGAGUAUAUGUGGUUAUAUCAAUCUUUGAUCCAGUAUGGUAUGGUUGAAUUAAGUUAGGGAUUCGAUUGAUAGUAUAUAUGGUUAUAUACUAAUUUUGUUAAAGGCUGUUAUUUGUGCAGUUGUUCAAGGGGUGAAGAGUAUUAAGUUACUUGUGAAGUCGACCGUGAAGAAGGCAACGGCGACGAAGGGAAAGAAGUUACGAGAUCUCCUCUUUUUAUUUUUUUAGAAGUUAGAAAGGACAAAAUCUCAUGUAUAACGUUAUAAGGUUAUAUGUUUAUUUUUUGUCACAUGUAUUACGUUUUUGUGUGUGUAUUAUUGUUACUAGAAGCAAGUCAUUGAGGCCGCUGCGCGGACCAAUUCAAUAAGUGAAAAUAUAAUGGAAAGAAGUUACGAGAUCUCCUCUUUUUCUUUUUUUAGAGUUAGAAAGGACAAAAUCUCAUGUAUAACGUUAUAAGGUUAUAUGUUUAUUUUUUGUCACAUGUAUUACAUUUUUUUUUGUGUAUUAUUGUUACUAGAAGCAAGUCAUUGAGGCCGCUGCGCGGACCAAUUCAAUAAAGUGAAAAUAUAAUGUUA